GAUGAACGCUGGCGGCGUGCCUAAUACAUGCAAGUCGAGCGAACAGAUAAGGAGCUUGCUCCUUUGACGUUAGCGGCGGACGGGUGAGUAACACGUGGGUAACCUACCUAUAAGACUGGAAUAACUCCGGGAAACCGGGGCUAAUGCCGGAUAACAUUUAGAACCGCAUGGUUCUAAAGUGAAAGAUGGUUUUGCUAUCACUUAUAGAUGGACCCGCGCCGUAUUAGCUAGUUGGUAAGGUAACGGCUUACCAAGGCAACGAUACGUAGCCGACCUGAGAGGGUGAUCGGCCACACUGGAACUGAGACACGGUCCAGACUCCUACGGGAGGCAGCAGUAGGGAAUCUUCCGCAAUGGGCGAAAGCCUGACGGAGCAACGCCGCGUGAGUGAUGAAGGUCUUCGGAUCGUAAAACUCCGUUAUUAGGGAAGAACAAAUGUGUAAGUAACUGUGCACGUCUUGACGGUACCUAAUCAGAAAGCCACGGCUAACUACGU
rnacentral:rRNA from 1 species